GCCACUUUGGCAACACAUACUAAAAUUGGGAACACAUAGAGAAGAUUAGUAUGGCUUCUGUCCAAGGUUAACACACAAAUACAAAUACAAAUACAGUGAACAUUUAU